rnacentral:misc_RNA from 1 species
CAAGAAGCCGAAAGGCUACUUAAAACCAUCGCGAACUUAUCCAAGUUGCGUCGGCGGCGCGGCUCCCCUCACGGGGGACCGCAGCCCCCGCCUCUCAGGAGGUAAGGGGCAGCCGCCGGAGGUACGAAACUCUGUAUUAUAGUGGUAUCUCUGAGUAUAAAACAAAUAAGUU